rnacentral:rRNA from 1 species
CCUACGGGUGGCUGCAGUCGAGAAUAAUUCACAAUGGGGGAAACCCUGAUGGAGCGACGCCGCGUGGGGGAAGGAAGGUCUGCGGAUUGUAAACCCCUGUCAUGUGGGAGCAAAGUAAAAAGAGAGUACCACAAGAGGAAGAGACGGCGAACGCGGUGCCAGCAGCCGCGGUAAGACAGAGGUCUCAAGCGUUGUUCGGAAUAACUGGGCGUAAAGCGUGCGUAGGCUUUUUCGGAAGUCGUGUGUGAAAGGCGCGGGCUCAACCCGCGGACGGCACCUGAUACUGCGAGCCUAGAGUACUGGAGAGGUAACCGGAAUUCUCGUUGUCGCCGU